GCCCGCAUAGCUCAGUGGUAGAGCGCGUCACUAGUAUGACUCCAUCUUCAGUCUUCUGAAGACGGAUCUGCGAUAUGACGAGGUCUUCAGUUCAACUCUGGAUGUGGGCA